UAAUAAUUUUUUUAUUUUUUUUUAAAAGCAAAUUAUAAAACUUCAAGAAACUGUCAACAGAAGAGAUUCUGUAACAAUCCCUAACAUUUAGAUGCAUUGUGUGACUACCUGAGGGUUGAAGGUCCCAAUCUCCUACAUCUUUUUGCUAAACAGAUUAAUAGACCUUGUAAAUAGUUUAUUUUAGACUACAGACAGUAUGGUAACUCUGUCCAACGUUUAUGUUGCCUAGAAGUUCAUAGCCACUUCCCUCCUUUCAGUCUUGAAACACGAUUUUGAAACAACUCUCCAGCGAUUUAAUUACACUGUGAAACAGUCACAUUACAACAAAAUGUAUACAUGUAACCAUUUAUUUUUUUUUAAUAUUGCAGUGAUUUCUUGUGAAAAAUCAUCACACUUCUUCAUCUUUCUGAAGUUGUGCAUCAGUGGGACACGGAGAUUGCAUUUAACCAUACUGUUACUUGGGUCAAGUUGACACAGAAAUAUUGCAACAUUCUGAAUCCUGUUUGAAAAGACUAACAGCAUUUAUUAGAUCUUAAUUGCUUUAAGUAUGUGCUAUGAAAAAAAGAGACCAUAUUUUUGCAAAUAAUGCCACAGGCUUACCCGAGAAUAACAAUAGUUUAAGUAAGCUUUAAAAAGACUUCAGUCAACAUACCUAGCAUCAGACAUGCCAGAGAACUUCAUCUGGGUGUAUAUAAGAGGAGCCAAGAAUUAUCUGACCAAGCCAGCCUGAGUUUUAAAUACAUAAAAUCUGUGAAACUGAAGCUGCUGCUGAGAGCGCUUUAGCAGCAGACAGUCUAGAACUGCUGUGGAUGAAAGCCUUUUCUGUUAAGAAUAGGUACUUCAUUGCCCAAUAAUUGAACAGUAAGAGAUAAGAGUUAAACUAGGAAAAACUAGUUUGCCACUAAGGUGAGAGUUAAUAGCAAUUCCUGAUCUACUCAUCAUAAAUAUUACCUGAUCCAAAAAUGCUUGGAAUGGCAUCUGAUGAUACAAAGGAAUAAAACGCAAAGAUAAAAGCAAGCAUCUUGGUCAGCACUUGUUUCACAUUCCCAGUUUUCUACUGUGGUCCUGCCUUGAUACUAGGUAAUUAGAUAACGGCACCAAGAAGGUUUAAUUAAAAAUAAAUAUAUUGCAAAGCAAAUAGGUGAAAACCCUGUAUCUAUCACUAUAUUAAAUGGAAAGGACAACAGGAGACAUUUAUUGCUUCAGUAGUGAAACUAAGGUUUCAUGAGGUAGCCCUGUCUAGCUACAGAUUAUCUACAAAUGUUGGAGUGUCUUUGAGACAUCAGAAAACACUUGCAUUAAAAAAAACCAACCAACCAACCAAACCUUAACAAAAAACACACCCACAAAAAAACCCAAAACAAAAACCCCACAAAACUGUCUUUUAUUCUGGAAUGGACAUAUAUUUCUACAGUAGUAAUGAUGCAGACAAUACAGUAGGAAAUAACUGAUAUGAAGAACAUUUUGCCACAAAAA